UACGAGGGGGGCAAGCGUUGUUCGGAAUUAUUGGGCGUAAAGGGAGCGUAGGCGGUUCGGUAAGUCACUUGUGAAAUCUCUGGGCUCAACCCAGAGUCUGCAAGCGAAACUGCCGGGCUGGAGUAUGGGAGAGGUGAGUGGAAUUCCUGGUGUAGCGGUGAAAUGCGUAGAUAUCAGGAGGAACACCUGUGGCGAAGGCGAUCACCUGGGGUUGUUCUGACGCUGAGGAGCGAAAGCUAGGGGAGCAAACGGG
rnacentral:rRNA from 1 species